AGAAGGCCAGAGCACCUGGGACCUUGUUUUACUAAAGCUUAUUAUGUUUCAGUGGCCCUGGUUCCCCAUGACAAAAGUACAAAGAGUACCCGCAAGAAGUAAGUUGAAGAUAAGGAGUGAGGAGAAGGAAGGUUAGUGGUAAGGCCACCAGUGAUUCUAACAGCAAAGGGACAAGAAAAAAGACUGGAACUUUAUUUAGAGGAUAAAGCUGAUGCCUGGCUUGCCAUCUUGCCCAGAUGGGACCUCAGCUAUGAGGGAAGCCAACUUCUGUGUCAUGAGGACAUUCAAGCAGCACUAUGGAGCCAUCCAUGUGGCUAGGAGCUGAAACUGAGCCAAGAAGCAGUGAGGAACUGGCUGGUAACAGCCAUGUGGGUAAAAGCCAUCUGAGAAGUGCAUGCUCUAGUCUCAGUCAAGCCUUCAGAAGACUGUGGCACCUGACAUCUCCACUGCAACCUCAUUAGAAACUCAAGACAGAACUGCCAGAGAAGCUCUUCCUGAAUUUCUGACCUACAGAAACGGUGUCAAAAAGAUAUUUAUUAUUGUUUUGAGCCCUAAGUUUUUGGAGUGACUUGUUGCUCCAAAUAUAUUAGAUAAUAUAUUAUAUAUGUAAGGUAACAUUUCAGUUUUGACAUUUUCACAUGCAUGAUCAGUUAUUUCAGCACUAUUUAAAAAUUUCUUUCUAUCUUCUGUUA
rnacentral:lncRNA from 1 species